UACGUAGGGUGCGAGCGUUGUCCGGAAUUAUUGGGCGUAAAGAGCUCGUAGGCGGUCUGUCGCGUCGGAUGUGAAAACUCGGGGCUCAACCCCGAGCCUGCAUUCGAUACGGGCAGACUAGAGUUCGGUAGGGGAGACUGGAAUUCCUGGUGUAGCGGUGAAAUGCGCAGAUAUCGGGAAGAACACCCGUGGCGAAGGCGGUUCUCUGGGACGGUACUGACGCUGAGACGCGAAAGCGUGGGGAGCGAACAGG
rnacentral:rRNA from 1 species